rnacentral:rRNA from 1 species
AGUGAACGUUGGCGGCGUGGAUUAGGCAUGCAAGUCGAGCGAGAACCGUAGCAAUACGGGGACAGCGGCGAAAGGGACAGUAAUGUGUAGGUACCUACCCCGAGGUCUGGGAUAGCUGCGGGAAACUGCAGGUAAUACCGGAUAAUGUCUUCGGACCAAAGGUGUGAUUCCACCUUGGGAGGGGCCUGCAUCCUAUUAGCUAGUUGGGGAGGUAACGGCUCACCAAGGCGACGAUGGGUAGCGGGGGUGAGAGCACGACCCGCGUCAUUGGGACUGAGACACUGCCCAGACACCUACGGGUGGCUGCAGUCGAGGAUCUUCGGCAAUGGGCGAAAGCCUGACCGAGCGACGCCGCGUGUGGGAUGAAGGCCUUCGGGUUGUAAACCACUGUCGUAGAGGAGGAAAUGCAGGGGGGUUCUCCCUUCUGUUUGACCUAUUCUAGGAGGAAGUACGGGCUAAGUUCGUGCCAGCCGCCGCCGUAACAC